GAUAUACUAAAAGAAGACAGAUCAGUCUCUCUCCUGAUAAGAAGAGUCACCAAGAGAAACAUCUGCAACAACUAGAUGCUGCUACAAAGAGACCAAUCAACAACUGCUCACAGAGAUACAGAUCUGAAGCACAGAAGUGCAAGAGACCUUCCUGAUGCCUUUGCCAGGAGCAUGGAAUUCUUCCCAGAGUCACAGAAGACGGCACAGCCUGGGGACAAUUGGGAAUCACCUGGAGGAUGGCAG
rnacentral:antisense_RNA from 1 species